GACGAACGCUGGCGGCGUGCUUAACACAUGCAAGUCGAACGGAAAGGCCCUGCUCUUGUGGGGUUCUCGAUUGGCGAACGGGUGAGUAACACGCGUGUAACCUCCCCCUAUCUUUGGGAUAACUUCAGGAAAAUGGGGCUCAUAUCGGAUAGGAGCUCCUGCUGCAUGUGGGGGGUUGGAAAAUUUCGGUGGUUGUGGAUGGUAUCGCGGCUUGCGAGCUUGUUUGUGUGGUAGUGGCUUACCAGGGCUUCGAGGGGUAGGCCGCCUGGGAGGGGGGCCGGCCACAAUGGGACUGCGGGAGGGCCCAGACUCCUACGGGAGGCAGUGGUGGGGAAUAUUGCACAAUGGGGGGGAGCCAGAUGCAGAAACGCCGCGUGCGGGAUGACGUGCUUCGGGUGGUAAACCGCUGUCGACUGUGACGAAGCGUGAGUGACGGUAAUGGGUAAAGAAGCACCGGCUAACUACGUG
rnacentral:rRNA from 1 species